UACGGAGGGGGCUAGCGUUAAUCGGAAUUACUGGGCGUAAAGCGUGCGCAGGCGGUUAUGUAAGACAGGGGUGAAAUCCCCGGGCUUAACCUGGGAACUGCAUUUGUGACUGCAUAGCUAGAGUACGGUAGAGGGGGAUGGAAUUCCGCGUGUAGCAGUGAAAUGCGUAGAUAUGCGGAGGAACACCGAUGGCGAAGGCAAUCCCCUGGACCUGUACUGACGCUCAUGCACGAAAGCGUGGGGAGCAAACAGG
rnacentral:rRNA from 1 species